rnacentral:lncRNA from 1 species
UUAAUUUUCUCUUACUCUUUUGCCAUAUGAGGAACGAGCAUUUGUCCCUUUUGUCCUUCUGCCAUUUGAGGAAGCAACAAGAAGGCCCUUACCAGAUGCUGGUGCCUUGAUCUUCAACUUCCCAGCCUUCAGAACUGUUGCGUUCCCCCAGUAGACAGACACUGAGAUGGAAAUUUGCAUACCGAAGGUGGAUUGAGGAUUGUUUAUCUGAAAAAAACAUCUAUGGUGGAGUAAGAAAAAUCACGACUGGGCUAUGGAGAAAGCUGAACUGGGAUGCAGAACAGAAGCUUCAGCCUCACUCGUGGGGAGCUCUGGCGCUAAAAAAACUCAUCGAAGAUUUCCCAAAUUGGAACAAGGCCUCUGUACUCCUGCAUUGACCAGUCAUGUGCCACUGUCACAAUGCUCUCAUGCCAAACCUUGACUGCAAAGCUGAGAUGUUAAUAUGGAACACCUGAGAGGGCUGGCACUUCAGCGUCCUUAUUCCUCCAGAACCACACCACAAAAGUCACCUUCUCCCCAGACAGAUUCUCUACAAAAUGCCUUGCAGCCGAGGUGUGGUGGAAAGAAUAUUGUAUUUGGAAUAAAAAAUUUUUGAUUUUGCACCAUCA